rnacentral:misc_RNA from 1 species
GUCGUUAAAUUUCACAAAGCGCAUAGCCACCGUAGGUUUCGUAGGGGUUCAGCAGUUGUUAUAAGUGCAGUGAAUUCAACGCGAGGAUCAUGGAUUCGUACGUGUGUAAAAUCGUCGUUCUCCGAACCAGCGACAAAAAGGUUUUGAAACCUAGAAAUGUAAACACAACUUUAGCACAAUCUAAAAAAGUCAUGGGAAUCAAGAAGUGCCUUUUCGGAGUUGCCAGCAUAGAAGACACCGAAAGGAUGUUACAAGAACAGUACGAAAUUGACACGAAAAGAUUCAAUGACAGGUUCGGAAUAGAUCUUAGAAAAUUGGAAGAGAGCGAGAAUUUCCACGACACCGAUAGAAUGCUUCACGAACAGUGCAACAUUGACAGGAAGAGGUUCAACGAUAGGUUCGGGAUUGAUCUGAGGAAGCUGGAAGAGAACGAGAACCAAGGAAAUUGUGAAAAUUUAGUUAGUAAUUCCAAUAUUUCACCGGCCAAGAGGAAAGCUGGAGCGUCCAGUAAGCAGCAAGUUAAAAGAAGUAGGGAAGUCUUUAGGCAGCGCAAUAACCAGACAGUAUUAACAGAUUUCUACCAGGCUAGGAAGACUGUGCAAUCGAUAGAUAAGUCGUUAAAGGACAGCAAAGAAAACUAGGACUAUCAAUUAAAUUAUUGUACAUAAAUUAUUUAAAGACUGUAGUAUAUUGUAUGCAUGUUUACAGCAUUUUUAUCCAAAGUUUUAUUAAUUAGGUGAACUAGGAAAACCAAACAUGUGCAACAUAUUGAUUUGUAAAAUUAUCCCAGUGAGGCAUAACUGCAGAAACAGUCAGCACUCUGCAGCGCUACUUAGUGGAGCCACAAAGUGGCUUAUACAGGCGAUUUUGUAGCACCAAUGAUUUUGUAAUGGACGCCCCUAGCAGCGAGGAUGGGCGACAGUUGCUGGCCACUGUCGCUCGUCUGGAAUGGCUCGUUUAAUUUACAUAAGAAUUUAAGGCUAAUCAUAGGAAGCUACUUUGUGGCGCCACAGAGUAGCGCUGCAGAGUGGCUCGUCUGUUUCUGGGGUAAAUGUUCGAUUUUUGAAUUGUCGAUAAGAUGAUUUUAACACGUAAACUAUCAUUUCAGCUCGAAUAUUUCAAGUUCUGGUACAAAUUGGAAAUAAAUUAUUUAUGAUUUGUAAAAAAAACAUCUAUGUGAUUUUAAAAAAAUGAUUCGACUUAUCACAUUUUUAACUAUAUCGAAGGCCAUAUGCAUAGAAAGAUAAUAGACAAUGCCGUCAGUAUUUCCUGUUAUUUUUCGAUCCACCAAUUGUAAAUAAGAAAUGUAACAAAAUGAUAAGCUUAUUUUUUCCUAAAUAAUAAUACAUAUACAUAAAUUCAUAAAAAAUGAACACGCAAAAAAUAUAGCAGAUUUUCUCUUGAGUUUUAAUACCGUAAUUAUAAAAAUAUUAUUGUAUCUUUACAAAGGAUACAUCAUCACAAAGAUACAUCUGUAAUGUAUGAAAAUUUUAACAUUAUUUAAAAAGGCUUUGAAACUGAAACUAUUUUAUUUUGGCAUGUCUAAGUUAAAAAUGAUGUUUAUUUGGGAUUUUGCCACAAUUGACUGCUAAAAAUGAUUAUCCAUUGUCAUUUAUAAAUAAGGUUUUUCACAAAAUUGAAGAAAGGAAACGAGGAACCACCACAAGAAAUCCAGAAACACUCAUAAGAGAGGAUUCAAAGAUAACAAUACCAUAAGUCAAGAGCUUAUCUGAAAAAUUAAAAGGAUAGGAAAUAAGUACAUCACAAUAUUCAAAAUAACCAAUACAUUAAAAUUUAUUCUGUUCCAAACCAAACCUAAUAAUAGACAAGAGGGAUAAAAGAAUUGCAACUACAGAAUAUCCUGUGAUACGACAACUUUUACGUGGGAGAAAGCGCGAAACCACUUACGGCCGGUUUCACAAAGUAAAGUUAACUUGUGGUUAAGACACAACCAUAGGUUACCCCAAAAUAUGCGUUUUAGUCUCAGGUCAACGACGAAGUAUGGUUAACUCACAGAAUUUUUAACCAGAGGUUGGAGUGGGUUAACCUUUAUGGGUAUACCCUGAAGGGUAACAAUUAUUAUGAAACUGAAACGCAUAUUUUGGGAUAACCUCUGGUUUAACCACAAGUUUACUUUGUGAAACCGGCCGUAAGGGUCAGGAUAAGUGUGCGUGAAACAUUCAUAAAAAACAGAGACUUCGACAAAUCACAGAUUUAUAGAAAUUGCAUCAGUAAUCAUGACAGAAAAAUACAUUAUAAAUAAUUUUUUAUCUUUUUUGAAAACGAUUUCCAUAUUUUAGUUAUUUUAAGUUGUAUUUUUCAUUAUAAUUGUGGCCUAAUUCCAUAUAAACAAUACAGUGCGCGUUGAGCAUGAGCAGGCUAAGAAUCGGAAAAAUAACGUAAAAGACGGAAAACAUAAUACGUUGUGAAAUCAAAAGAGAUGAAACUAUCAAAUGUGGGAAAUUAUCAAUCGAAUCCUAUAAAUUUACAUUAUAUCGAUACUUUGCCACCUUUAGACGCAUCGGACAAGUUUGGCAACCAACACUGUGACAGGAGGAUUUUAUAAAAUUCUUCUGUGACAGUUGUAGUUGACAUACUCCGCCGAUUUUCCGCUGAUUACUCCGCCAAUGAAAGUUUUACAAUGAUCCCAUAUUAUUUAUAUUUGAAUUAUUUUUAUAUCUGAUUAAUUAUUUUAUAAAGGUACUUUAAACUAAAAACGUCUUUUUACUCGAAAUUAUAUUAUGUCAAACAAUUUUACGUGUUAAGAUUAUUUAUCUUAAGCGGCUACAUCAGCGUGUCAUCAUUAAUUCAAAAGAUAAUAGUCGCACCGUUUUUCGAAAGUUCUGCGAACCUUUGGCAACAAUGCGUUGGCAGUACGUGACACUUUCAAAGACGAAGGCACAAUAUUGGAUAUUGUGAUAAUAAUAUGUUGUAAAAUCAGUGACUUAAGUUCGAUUUCUUGUUAUACAUUAUAGAUAAUCGAUUUUAGUAGUUCCAAUGUAACACAAUAUUUAGGCAUGAGAUGAAGUUUAUUUGAAGAAAGUGUAUUUUUUUGUUCUUCUUAAUGGCGGUACAGACUCGUUUUUGUAAUAUUUUAUUUAAUUAUAGAGUAUCUCCACAUACUAACAUAUUUCUCAAAAUGGGCUCUGUGCCGCCAUUCUUUAGUAUAUUACGUAUAUGUUUGCCAAAUAACUCGACAAAAUAUUCAAAAUUAAAGCUGCAAUUUUGGAACGCGUUUUCCAUCUUGAUGACUCGUUGAUAUAGCCUCUUUAUUAUUGUUGUAUAUUUGAAAAAGGCUUUCUAUUAUUCUUCGAAAUUAUGACCGGCAAGAAAAUGUGGACUUUGUAAAAAAUUCUUAGUCUAGUCUUUGUUUGUACUUUUACGAAAGUACACUAUGUAUUUGUAUGUAGUGUGUAUGGAAUCUCUUGUAAAUGGCUUAAAAUAUAAUCUAUUUAUUUUUGAA